GUAACUCGUUCGCGUCUCUUUACACAGUGUGAAGUUUCAGUUUUUUGCUGUUUGGGUCCACACUGUUUUUAUGAGCUGUAACACUCACCACGUAAGUCUCCAGUUUCUAUCCUAAAGGCAGUAAGACAACAAGCUCACCGGGAAGGAUGAACAGCGCCGGACACGUCGCCUUAAGAGCUAUAACACUCACCACCAAGGCCUGCAGUUUCACUCCCGAGCUAGUGAGACCAAGAACCCACCUAAAGGAAAAAACUCCGAACACAUCUUAAGGUCAAGAAGGAACGAACUCCUGACACGCCACCUUAAAAGCUGUAACACUCACCACCAGGGUCUGUGGCUUCAUUCUUGAAGUCAGUGAGACCAAGAGCCCACCAAUUCUGGACACAAUAGGGCUGAGUGCGGUGGCUCAGGUCUGUAAUCCCAGCACUUCGGGAGGCCAAGGCAGGCAGAUCAUUUGAGGUCAGGAGUUCGUGACCAACCUGGGCAACAUAGAGAAACCUAAAUGUCCCUCCUAAACGUGUCUUUACCAAAAAUAAAAGAAUUAGUGGGGUGUAGUGGUGCAUACUGUGAUCUCAGCUACUGCAGAG
rnacentral:lncRNA from 1 species